GGGGCUGAUCGGAUUUGACAGCGUGAGUUGUAGAGUGUAAGCAUGUCGAGUGUUGUAGGAAUGACUCGUUAAUCCCAACUUACAUAGCCAAUAAACGGCAACGAUUAUAAUUACGCACUAGCUGCUUAAUUUUAGAAAUUAAACAGGUGCUGGUUCACGGAAGUCCUCCCGAUACUUCCGAUACGAACCAUCGUGAAUCCGGGAUAGGGUGAGCAUUUUCCCACUGUUCAGCCGAAAUAACAGGGAAUAAGGGUUAAGUUGGUUAGCCGUGUACCUUACUUAAUCACGAAAAUCAAACAUAGGCUAAGCAUGUAGAAAGCAUUUUAUUGCCAUGUUUGGACGAGGGUUCAAUUCCCUCCGGCUCCACAA
rnacentral:tmRNA from 1 species